rnacentral:rRNA from 1 species
CUACGGGCGGCUCCAGUGAGGAAUAUUGGUCAAUGGGCGAAAGCCUGAACCAGCCAUGCCGCGUGAAGGAUGACGGCCCUAUGGGUUGUAAACUUCUUUUAUACGGGAAGAAACACCUCUACGUGUAGAGGUUUGACGGUACCGUACGAAUAAGCAUCGGCUAACUCCGUGCCAGCAGCCGCGGUAAUACGGAGGAUGCAAGCGUUAUCCGGAUUUAUUGGGUUUAAAGGGUACGUAGGCGGAAACUUAAGUCAGUAGUGAAAUCCCGCAGCUUAACUGUGGAACUGUUAUUGAUACUGGGUUUCUUGAAUAUUGUUGAGGUAGGCGGAAUAAGUAAUGUAGCGGUGAAAUGCUUAGAUAUUACUUAGAACACCGAUUGCGAAGGCAGCUUACUAAGCAAUUAUUGACGCUGAGGUACGAAAGCGUGGGGAGCGAACAGGAUUAGAUACCCUAGUAGUC